AAUCGCACGGUUUCCCCCUCCUCGACCACGCGAUUGUGCGGAACUGCGUAAAAUUUCGGUGGACUGAUCUUUGGCCGUCUUGACAUCGACCUACUUCGUGGAAGAAGCUGAGGAGACCUUAAUUCUCGACCAUCUCGUUCAACGCAAGAGUUUGGUCACCACCGUUUAAUUGAGUCAACGUAAAUUUUGUUAUUAGGCCAGAUAUAUUUAUGGAAAUUAAAUUAACCCGUAAUUGCUACGAUGAGAAUAAAUAAUUAAAAGGAUAAAGAUGAAUACAUAAAAAAAUAAGAAAAGGUUAGUAUUA